rnacentral:misc_RNA from 1 species
GUACAUGGAAAAUAAUAGUCUUGCCCAUGCUUUAUCUGAUGAAAAUAAUCAGCUUAAACUGGAUUGGCCUACAAGACUUAAGAUCUGUAUUGGGAUAGCUAAGGGUCUAGCUUUUCUCCACGAAGAAUCAAGACUUAAGAUUGUUCACAGAGACAUCAAAGCUACUAAUGUGCUGCUAGAUAAGGACUUGAACCCAAAAAUUUCGGACUUUGGGUUGGCUAGACUUGAUGAAGAGGAAAAGAGCCACAUCAGCACCCGGAUUGCUGGAACCAUAGGGUAUAUGGCACCAGAAUAUGCGCUAUGGGGUUACUUGACUGACAAAGCAGAUGUUUACAGUUUUGGAGUUGUUGCAUUGGAAACUGUUGCUGGAAAGAACAAUAUGAAAUAUCGACCAGAUGAAAAUUUUGUCUGCCUCAUGGAUUGUGUAAGAUAUUUGGCAUGUUCUUUUGAGUUUGAUGCAUCAAGCAUGCAACAAAAGCCAUACUUAUUGCUGCAAAAUAAAUAUCUGUUUGAUUCUACAGAAUAUGAAUAUCAUUGUGAUAUCAAGCUCAGGUGUGCCAAUUUCUUCUGUGGUUAUUUCAGGCUCUUGUUUUACAGCAAAAGGGAGACCUAAUGGAGCUGGUUGAUGCAAGAUUAGGAUCCCAGUUCAACAAGGAAGAAGCUGUUAGAAUGAUAAAAGUUGCAUUAUUAUGCACUUUUUCUUCACCUGCACUUAGACCUACAAUGUCUGAAGUAGUAAGGAUGCUUGAAGGCCGAGCUUCUGUUCAUGAAUUAGUGGUGAGUCAUGGUAUGUACGCUGAACAACUGGGAUCUGGGGCCUCAAUGAACAAGUUUGAUCAAAUUUCGCUUCAUAGUACAAGCAAAACUCGGCCUCUCAUUCAUUCAUCUGGUACACCAUGGACUGUCUGAUCAUCUUCAUCCUUAUAGCCGACUUCAACUAAUUUGAGAUUAAAACUUAAUUGUUAUUGUUAUGGCAGUUAGUAUAUAACUUUAUGCUGCUGUCAACUUCCAUGGUGUGUGAAAUUCUGGCUUUUUUCACCAUAGAUACUAUAAUCUAUGCAAGUAGAAAACUUCCAAGCUUGCUCACAUGAUACCCAACUUCAAUUUAAACCAACGCCCUCAACAGUAAGAAAAUACGUAUUUGUAUUUUGGAGAUGGACAUGAAAGGUGAGGAUUACGGUACAUCACUAGGAUGUUUUUUAUUUUUUUUUAGUAUGGAUAUUAAGGGAAUAGGGAUUCAAACUAGAGGCUCUCAUAUAUUUUCAGUCACUGAAUCAAGCUAAACUAGAUAGACAUGCUCACGGUAAUUGUUAUCCCACAUUGGUUUGAGAUGAGGUAUUUGAGAUAUAUAUAUGAUUUAGGUAAACCUCUGAAAUAAUUUUUUGGUGGAAUUAAGUCCAUUUUAUUUUUUCUACUUUCAUAUUUGCAUGUGAGGGGUCGGGCUUUUGUACCAUAAAAGCCACUAUCGUAUGAUUGCACAGUAAAAC